rnacentral:rRNA from 1 species
UACGGAGGGUGCAAGCGUUGCUCGGAAUUAUUGGGCGUAAAGGGUAGGUAGGUGGUCUCAUUUGUCUGGGGUGAAAGCCUUGAGCUUAACUCGAGAAGUGCCCCAGAAACGGUGAGACUGGAGUCCUGGAGAGGGUCGUGGAAUUCCCGGUGUAGCGGUGAAAUGCGUAGAGAUCGGGAGGAACACCAGAGGCGAAGGCGGCGACCUGGACAGGCACUGACACUCAAAUACGAAAGCGUGGGGAGCAAACAGG